GAUUUCCUCCCUGAUCACUCAGCAGUACCCAUUCCCUAGCUCCCUGCCCACCAAAUUGUCCAUUAAAAACCCUAAUCUCUGAGCCUUCAAGGAAACUGACUUGAGGAGUAACACCAUCUUCUGUGUGCCUGGCCUUGUGUCAAAUUUUUCUCUACUGCAAUGCUGAGGUCUCAGUAAAUCGAUUUUUGUCUGUGCAGUGGGCUGGAAGGAGUCAACAGAAACACGUACACUUUAUUGAAUGCCGUCGUAAAAAAGUGUGUGAGGAUAAAGGGCUGAUACAGGACUUGGCUCCGGGAGCAGGGCGAGGAAUGGAAGGUGGAGUACAAAGGAUACAGGUCAUGGGUAGAUCUCCUGGCCUCAGUGAUGUCUCCUGAUCUAUCUAUGGGCUUGGAAGAUUAAUACUGGGAUGAUGAUGAGCAGAAUGGUCAUGAGGAUGCCCAAAAUCAGGGCCCAGAUGUUCAGGCACUUGGUGGUGGAGGCAUAGGCCUGGGCCCCAGUCACGUUGCCAACCAUCUUCCUGUCCCUAGACUUCACGGAGUAGGCAAAUGCUAUGAAGCCCAGGCAGCAGGGGUUCAUGAAGAGGGUGUUGAACAGGGACCAGACGACAUGGUGGGGCACGGAGGUCUUGCUGCGGAUGUGGAUCACGGUGGACGUUGGGGGAGCAGGGUUGUGGGGCACCCCCAGCACAGCCACCUUGUGCUCCUCCUUGAGCAUCUCAUAGUUGGGGGGCUGGCCGCUGUUGACAGGAGAGAAGAAGGUUUGGACAGUGUGGUUCAUGGUGUCCAGCGAAGACCAGCCGUGGUUGAGUUACUGGGAUGGUUCUCAGUGGACCCUCCCUUUCCCCAGUAGUUUUGUUUUCUCCAUAUUUGAAAUUAAGAUAACAAUUACUUUCGUUUGCAUUAGCCUAGUACAGGUUUGCCCAUUUAUCUUUUUUUCUCUUCAUUUUCUGUCCUUCUGAAUCUAUUAGUUUUAGGUUUGUCUUUGUUUUUAUGGUAUUGAAUUAUUUUUUAUUUGUGGUUCUAUCUGAC
rnacentral:lncRNA from 1 species